ACCACCACCUGCGAGUUGUCAUACAGGUCGUAGGGCUGCUUGCCCAGGCUGAAUACCUCCCACAUCAGGAUCCCUGCACCGCGCCCAGGGGCAGCCGGCAGACAAAAAGGCAAGAGAGCCAAGGUCAGAAGGGCAUUUGGCUACAGAAAUACUCAUCCAGGUGCACAAAGUUAUGUGUGCAUGACUGUGCGCUGAAACAUCUAUUGUUCUGUGAAAAUACUGCAUAUGAUCCAACUGCUACUCAAUAUACGGAUGCUUAGAAGGAA